CGAACAGGGACCAUUGAAACUCAGAGCAGGGAAGCUCCGCUCGGACGACUCUUGACAAGCAGAGCGGGCAGCUCCGAAGAUCGUCGAUCCGAAGGAAGCUGUCUGUGGCACACAUCGGGCGCUCGUCAGCCACUUAAAUGGGACGAGCCUGGCUGCUGAUGUCAAAGUCUCGAGCGACAGUUUCCCCUGCGUCUCCCUCAGUGGAUCCCCCAUCUCCCUUGGGAGCCGGGAAAGUCAGCUGAGCGGAGGCCAGGAUUCCCUUUCAGAGGCCUCUCCUUGGAUGCGAGGGACCGAGCAAGGCCGUGGGCAACUGCGAGACUCUAGGCUGAGGCUACACUCCAGCGGCUUCUGAAAGGCCCGCGUGUCUGGAAUCAGACCCCGACAGCCCGACUGGGUAUCCGUGAGGAGCGCCUCUCUCUCUCUGUCUCUGACUUCCAGCCUGCUUCAGCCUGCCCUGGCCUCUGAGUGAGGCAGGGGGUGUCCCUAACUCCCUUCUAACUUCAUCAAUCUCACGGAACCUGAUGCUCACGCCCACAAGAGGCAGUCGUCCUGGAGCUAAGCAUUUCCUUGUCUGCAGCCCCAGGGAAGCGAAACAAGCCUGUGACUCAGAUCAAGACUCUAGCAGCGAAAAGUCACACAGUCCCUGCACUUACCAGACAGGCAGGGGCCUCUCGAGGAAGGACUAAAGCUCAGGCAGAGGAAACUAGGAAAACUGAGAGUAAUUCAAUCCCUACACUCUAAGAAAGAAGUGUCUUAUCUUCUGCACACAAACCUGGCCUCAAUACAAACACUGAUUAGAGAGGCUUGGCCCCUGAAGUAUGUGAUAUAAUGUUAUGCAGCUAAAUAUAUUUUGCCACAAGGAAAAUAGUCAAAAGUCCCAUGAACUACUAUAAUAUGGAACUAGUUUUCUAAAUUCUUUUAGUGAAAAUCUAGUCUACUUACUGGUUCAUCAUUAUCUUUGAAAAUUGGGAAGUCUUAAACUAGACUCCCUGAGAUAGAAGAGAUUUAUAUUUUAUAACACAGCCUGGCUUUAAAUGACUGCUGCUACAAUUGUACUUGCAUUUCAUUUCCAGCCCCCUGGACACACACAGUCCGUAUCAGUUCAGAGCUUUCAUCGGCCCUGUUAGUCUGGGACCAUCUAAACCUUAACCAGGUUACGUAAACUGCU